GCUUGGAACGUUCUGAACUUUGAAGAUGAAGGGCUCCCAUGCGCCAUUCUAAAAAUCUAUGUCCCUCCCGCGGCUCAACCGGGGAGGGUCAUUGGAAACUGGCAAACUUGUUUGCACAAUAGGAGAGUGGAAUUCCACUUGUAGCGGUGAAAUGCGUAAAAAUGUGGAGGAACACCAGUGGCGAAAGCGACUCUCUGGUCUGUAACUGACGCUGAGGAGCGAAAGCGUGGGGAGCGAACAGGAUUAGAUACCCUGGUAGUCCACGCCGUAAACGAUGAGUGCUAAGUGUUAGGGGGUUUCCGCCCCUUAGUGCUGCAACUAACGCAUUAAGCACUCCGCCUGGGGAGUACGGUCGCAAGACUGAAACUCAAAGGAAUUGACGGGGGCCCGCACAAGCGGUGGAGCAUGUGGUUUAAUUCGAAGCAACGCGAAGAACCUUACCAGGUCUUGACAUCCUCUGACAACCCUUAGAGAUAGGGCUUUCCCUUUCGGGGACAGAGUGACAGGUGGUGCAUGGUUGUCGUCAGCUCGUGUCAUGAGAUGUUGGGUUAAAGUCCCGCAACGAGCGCACCCCUUUGAUCUUAGUUGGCCAGCAUUUCAGUUGGGGCACUCUAAGGUGACUGCCGGUGACCAAACCGGGAGGAAGGUGGGGGAUGACGUUCAAAUCAUCAUGCCCCCUUUAUGAACCUGGGGCCUACACACGGUGCUACAAUGGGAACUAGAACAAAAGGGGCUUGCCAAGACCCGCCAGGGUUUAGGCCAUAUUCCCCAAUUAAAUUCUUGUUCUUCAAUGUUCGGGAUUCGACAUUCUCUUGGAUAACUUACCAACUGGCCGUGGAAAGCCUCGGAAAUCCCCCUUAGGUUAAAUUCGCCCGGCAUCCACGCACUGGGCCAUGCGCGGUAAACUUACCGGUUACCCUGGGACCUUUAUGCUACACUCACUGCUCCGGUUUCUAACGCGCACAUGGAUG
rnacentral:rRNA from 1 species